rnacentral:rRNA from 1 species
ACGGGUGAGUAAUAUAUCGGAACGUGCCCAGUCGUGGGGGAUAACUGCUCGAAAGAGCAGCUAAUACCGCAUACGACCUGAGGGUGAAAGCGGGGGAUCGCAAGACCUCGCGCGAUUGGAGCGGCCGAUAUCAGAUUAGGUAGUUGGUGGGGUAAAAGCCCACCAAGCCAACGAUCUGUAGCUGGUCUGAGAGGACGACCAGCCACACUGGGACUGAGACACGGCCCAGACUCCUACGGGAGGCAGCAGUGGGGAAUUUUGGACAAUGGGCGCAAGCCUGAUCCAGCCAUGCCGCGUGCGGGAAGAAGGCCUUCGGGUUGUAAACCGCUUUUGUCAGGGAAGAAAAGGUUCUGGCUAAUACCUGGGACUCAUGACGGUACCUGAAGAAUAAGCACCGGCUAACUACGUGCCAGCAGCCGCGGUAAUACGUAGGGUGCAAGCGUUAAUCGGAAUUACUGGGCGUAAAGCGUGCGCAGGCGGUUAUGCAAGACAGAUGUGAAAUCCCCGGGCUCAACCUGGGAACUGCAUUUGUGACUGCAUGGCUAGAGUGCGGCAGAGGGGGAUGGAAUUCCGCGUGUAGCAGUGAAAUGCGU